rnacentral:rRNA from 1 species
UACAGAGGUCUCAAGCGUUGUUCGGAUUCAUUAGGCGUAAAGGGUGCGUAGGCGGCGCGGUAAGUCGGGUGUGAAAUCUUGGAGCUUAACUCCGAAACUGCAUUCGAUACUGCCGUGCUUGAGGACUGGAGAGGAGACUGGAAUUUACGGUGUAGCGGUGAAAUGCGUAGAUAUCGUAAGGAAGACCAGUGGCGGAAGGCGGCAUCCUGGGACUGGUACUGACGCUCAGGAGCGAAAGCGUGGGGAGCGAUCCGG